AGAGACAGCAGCAGCCACGGGAAUACAGAGGGUGCGAGCGUUAAUCGGAUUUACUGGGCGUAAAGCGUGCGUAGGCGGCUUCUUAAGUCGGAUGUGAAAUCCCUGAGCUUAACUUAGGAAUUGCAUUCGAUACUGGGAAGCUAGAGUAUGGGAGAGGAUGGUAGAAUUCCAGGUGUAGCGGUGAAAUGCGUAGAGAUCUGGAGGAAUACCGAUGGCGAAGGCAGCCAUCUGGCCUAAUACUGACGCUGAGGUACGAAAGCAUGGGGAGCAAACAGGAUUAGAGACCCGGGUAGUCCCUGUCUCUUAUAA
rnacentral:rRNA from 1 species